UACGAAGGGGGCUAGCGUUGUUCGGAAUUACUGGGCGUAAAGGGCGCGUAGGCUGUGCUGUAAGUCAGGCGUGAAAGCCCCGGGCUCAACCUGGGAAUUGCGCUUGAUACUGCGGCGCUGGAAGGUGGGAGAGGAUGGCGGAAUUCCCAGUGUAGAGGUGAAAUUCGUAGAUAUUGGGAAGAACACCGGUGGCGAAGGCGGCCAUCUGGCCCACAAUUGACGCUGAGGCGCGAAAGCGUGGGGGAGCAAACAGGGAUUAAGAAACCC
rnacentral:rRNA from 1 species